rnacentral:rRNA from 1 species
AGUUUGAUCCUGGCUCAGGAUGAACGCUAGCGACAGGCCUAACACAUGCAAGUCGAGGGGUAACAGGGGCUUCGGCCCGCUGACGACCGGCGCACGGGUGAGUAACGCGUAUGCAACCUGCCUGUAACAGCGGGAUAGCUCCCUGAAAGGGGAAUUAACACCGCAUAAGACCACGCUCUCGCAUGGGGACGGGGUAAAAUAUUUAUAGGUUACAGAUGGGCAUGCGUGACAUUAGUUAGUUGGUGAGGUAACGGCUCACCAAGACUGCGAUGUCUAGGGGUUCUGAGAGGAACGCCCCCCACAUUGGGACUGGGACACGGCCCAAACUCCUACGGGAGGCAGCAGUGAGGAAUAUUGGUCAAUGGACGGAAGUCUGAACCACCCAUGCCGCGUGAAGGAAGACUGCCCUAUGGGUUGUAAACUUCUUUUGCAGCAGAGCAAUAAGGCGUACGUGUACGCCGAUGAGAGUAUGUUGCGAAUAAGCAUCGGCUAACUCCGUGCCAGCAGCCGCGGUAAUACGGAGGAUGCGAGCGUUAUCCGGAUUUAUUGGGUUUAAAGGGUGCGUAGGCGGCCAUUUAAGUCAGCGGUGAAAUUUUGCAGCUUAACUGUAACAGUGCCGUUGAUACUGUUUGGCUAGGAUUUGGUUGUAGUGUGCGGAAUGUGUGGUGUAGCGGUGAAAUGCUUAGAUAUCACACAGAACACCGAUUGCGAAGGCAGCACACUAAGUCAUUAUUGACGCUGAGGCACGAAAGUGUGGGGAUCAAACAGGAUUAGAUACCCUGGUAGUCCACACUGUAAACGAUGAUAACUCGCUGUCGGCGAUACACAGUCGGUGGCCAAGCGAAAGCAUUAAGUUAUCCACCUGGGGAGUACGACCGCAAGGUUGAAACUCAAAGGAAUUGACGGGGGCCCGCACAAGCGGAGGAACAUGUGGUUUAAUUCGAUGAUACGCGAGGAACCUUACCCGGGCUCGAACGGUGCAUGAAUAUACGAGAGAUUGUAUAGUCCUUCGGGACAUGUAUCGAGGUGCUGCAUGGUUGUCGUCAGCUCGUGCCGUGAGGUGUCGGCUUAAGUGCCAUAACGAGCGCAACCCUUGUCAUUAGUUGCCAUCAGGUCAAGCUGGGGACUUUAAUGAGACUGCCACCGUAAGGUGUGAGGAAGGGGGGGAUGACGUCAAAUCAGCACGGCCCUUAUGUCCGGGGCGACACACGUGUUACAAUGGGAGGUACAGAGGGCAGCUAUCCGGUGACGGAAUGCUAAUCUCCAAAACCUUUCUCAGUUCGGAUUGGAGUCUGCAACUCGACUCCAUGAAGGUGGAUUCGCUAGUAAUCGCGCAUCAGCCAUGGCGCGGUGAAUACGUUCCCGGGCCUCGCACAAAGCGCCCGUCA